rnacentral:lncRNA from 1 species
CAUGAGUGACCUGGAGCAAACAGCCUCACAACAUCAAGGCUCCUACCACUAAGGCUGCUGUGGAGUUCAAUAGCCUCCCUUCAGCGAAGAUUGAAAUAUUCCUUCUGCAACCUAGGAGGAUUCCUUUGCAGUGAGUGCCUGAAACAAUGGGGAGCAUCGUGCUGCAGUCUCCGAUUUCUCCUCUCCCCUUUUGUCUCAUCCCACCGAGCCCCACAGCCUCUAAAUACUGUAUUUCUGCGAGAGCUUGGUCCCCCGCCCCCCAACUCCUUACACUCAUCAAGCUUCUCCCGCAAGCUGCAGUCACAGCGCCCGACUGCAGGCCUCGGGAACCCCAUAUGGAGAAUCCGGAGAAUCCGUUUCAAAGAUGCUGGAUGGGUUGGAAGAGCAAGAGGAAGGAGGAGGAGGGCUGAGGCAGCAAGAAAGGAGCCACAGCUAAGCACCUUUGGUCUGAAGCCCCCGAAUCCACCCCUGCCUCUCGUUGCUUGUAGGUUCUGGAUGUGCUGGGUGCAAUCCCCCCCACCCCUACUCCAGCAACCAGGUGAUUCCCAGAGCCAAAGCAGGGCUCUCCUGCCGCCUGCGGUGUCCCCUGAGCCUGGAUGGCCGGAGAGCCUGGCCCUGCCUCUUGGAAGCGCGACACGCAAGGGCAGGUGGCUCUGCGAGACAGCAGGUGGGUCCCUGGGCCAGGGCCCAGCUCAGAUGCCCAGGGUUUCCCCAAGUAUCCUGUGACUCGUCACCCCCUUCCCUGCACCCCCCCACCCGGGCCACCACCCCCAGCUGAAACAAACUUCUCCCCUCUCCUGGAUUCUGCUGGAACUGUACUGGUCUCCGCUCAGGUCAGGGCUACCCAUUCUGGGGCAGGCGCUUCACGAGGUGCUGCAACACAAGCACGAGUGGCGCAGGCUGGACUUCUGUCCCCCUGGAGCUUCCCCGCAUGCAAAGCCCGGUUGGAGACACAGCGAAAGGUGCAGCUGCGACGUCGUUGGAGAGGAACCGAGACAAGGGGGUACGAGUGUGGGAGCCCACGGGAAAGCCCGCUGAUCCUCUUGACCUCGUCUAUGGAGGACGAAACUGAGCCUAGGAGUACGAGCUGGUUCUCGUGGGCUCCACGCAUCCGGUGAGGACCAGGCCUGGGCAGUCUCCAUCCCACUCCUUAAGCCCACAGACAUCAACAUAUGUGCCAAAGCAGAUCUUGGAGGAAGCUGUCCAAGUUCUUUUUUUGAGGAACCUGCAGCCUAGGUAAGUGGCCUCCGUCCAUCUCAACCCGGGGGAACGAUCCCAUCCUUAAAAGCAUGUGCUUCGAUGUGGGAGUGAGUAGGUGGGUGCCAGCCUAAUGUCUUUGACCCAAACGGUGGAUUUGGUGACUAAGAGGAGAGAU